rnacentral:rRNA from 1 species
UACGUAGGGUGCAAGCGUUAAUCGGAAUUACUGGGCGUAAAGCGUGCGCAGGCGGCUUUGCAAGACAGAUGUGAAAUCCCCGGGCUUAACCUGGGAACUGCAUUUGUGACUGCAUGGCUGGAGUGCGGCAGAGGGGGAUGGAAUUCCGCGUGUAGCAGUGAAAUGCGUAGAUAUCCGGAAGAACACCGAUGGCGAAGGCAACCACCUGGGCCUGCAUUGACGCUGAGGUACGAAAGCGUGGGGAGCAAACAGG